AUUGAACGCUGGCGGCAGGCUUAACGCAUGCAAGUCGAGCGGAGAUGAGGUGCUUGCACCUUAUCUUAGCGGCGGACGGGUGAGUAAUGCUUAGGAAUCUGCCUAUUAGUGGGGGACAACAUUCCGAAAGGAAUGCUAAUACCGCAUACGUCCUACGGGAGAAAGCAGGGGAUCUUCGGACCUUGCGCUAAUAGAUGAGCCUAAGUCGGAUUAGCUAGUUGGUGGGGUGAAGGCCUACCAAGGCGACGAUCUGUAGCGGGUCUGAGAGGAUGAUCCGCCACACUGGGACUGAGACACGGCCCAGACUCCUACGGGAGGCUGCAGUGGGGAAUAUUGGACAAUGGGGGGAACCCUGAUCCAGCCAUGCCGCGUGUGUGAAGAAGGCCUUUUGGUUGUAAAGCACUUUAAGCGAGGAGGAGGCUACUGGUACUAAUACUACCAGCUAGUGGACGUUACUCGCAGAAUAAGCACCGGCUAACUCUGUGCCAGCCGCCGCCGUAAAAC
rnacentral:rRNA from 1 species